GACGAACGCUGGCGGCGUGGAUUAGGCAUGCAAGUCGAACAGUAUCAUCCUUUCGGGGGUGAGAGAGUGGCGAACUGGUGAGUAACACGUAGGUUAUCUACCCUCAAGACGGGGACAACCCAGGGAAACUUGGGCUAAUACCGGAUGUGAGCAACUUUUAGUUGUUUGAAAGGUGGCGUAAGCUGUCGCUUGGGGAUGAGCCUGCGUCCUAUUAGUUAGUUGGUGAGGUAACGGCUCACCUAGGCAAUGAUAGGUAGGCGGCCUUAACGGGGUGGUCGCCCACACUGGGAUUGAGAUACGGCCCAGACUCCUACGGGAGGCAGCAGUCGAGAAUAGUCUACAAUGGUCGGAAGACUGAUAGUGCGACGCCGCGUGAACGAUGAAUCCCUUCGGGGUGUAAAGUUCUUUUAUAUGUGAGCAGUGCUUCUUAUAUUAACAGUAUGGGGAGAGAGAUAUUAGCAUAUGAAUAAGCAACGGCUAACUCCGUGCCAGCAGCCGGGUAAA
rnacentral:rRNA from 1 species